GCCUGGGAGGCUCAGUCGGUCGAGCAUCCGACUUCGGCUCAGGUCAUGAUCUCAAAGCUCGUGGGUUCGAGCCCCACGUCGGGCU
rnacentral:tRNA from 1 species